GGUAGUAGUAGUAGUAAUAGGUGUGGUGGUGGUAGUAGUAGUAAUAGGUGUGGUGGUAGUAGUAGUAGUAAUAGGUGUGGUAGUAGUAGUAGUAGUAAUAGGUGUGGUGGUAGUAGUAGUAGUAAUAGGUGUGGUGGUGGUAGUAGUAGUAAUAGGUGUGGUAGUAGUAGUAGUAGUAAUAGGUGUGGUGGUAGUAGUAGUAGUAAUAGGUGUGGUGGUGGUAGUAGUUGUAGUACUAGUAGUAAUAGUGCUGGUGGUGGUAGUAGUGGUAGUACUAGUAAUAAUAGUGCUGCUGGUGGUGGUAGUGGUGGUAGUAGUAGUAGUAGUAAUAGGUGUGGUGGUAGUAGUAGUAGUAAUAGGUGUGGUAGUAGUAGUAGUAGUAAUAGGUGUGGUGGUAGUAGUAGUAGUAAUAGGUGUGGUGGUGGUAG
ensembl:lncRNA